rnacentral:rRNA from 1 species
AUUGAACGCUGGCGGCAGGCCUAACACAUGCAAGUCGAGCGGCUGAACGGAGCUUGCCCCUGGAUUCAGCGGCGGACGGGUGAGUAAUGCCUAGGAAUCUGCCUGGUAGUGGGGGAUAACGUCCGGAAACGGGCGCUAAUACCGCAUACGUCCUGAGGGAGAAAGUGGGGGAUCUUCGGACCUCACGCUAUCAGGUGAGCCUAGGUCGGAUUAGCUAGUUGGUGGGGUAAAGGCCUACCAAGGCGACGAUCCGUAACUGGUCUGAGAGGAUGAUCAGUCACACUGGGACUGAGACACGGUCCAGACUCCUACGGGAGGCAGCAGUGGGGAAUAUUGGACAAUGGGCGAAAGCCUGAUCCAGCCAUGCCGCGUGUGUGAAGAAGGUCUUCGGAUUGUAAAGCACUUUAAGUUGGGAGGAAGGGCAGUAAGUUAAUACCUUGCUGUUUUGACGGUACCAACAGAAUAAGCACCGGCUAACUUCGUG